rnacentral:rRNA from 1 species
AACGCUAGCUACAGGCUUAACACAUGCAAGUCGAGGGGCAUCAGGGUAGCAAUACCGCUGGCGACCGGCGCACGGGUGAGUAACACGUAUCCAACCUACCGUUAACUCGGGGAUAGCCUUUCGAAAGAAAGAUUAAUACCCGAUAGUAUAUUUUCUUCGCAUGUUGAAAAUAUUAAAGAAUUUCGGUUAUCGAUGGGGAUGCGUUCCAUUAGGCAGUUGGCGGGGUAACGGCCCACCAAACCUACGAUGGAUAGGGGCUCUGAGAGGAAGGUCCCCCACAUUGGAACUGAGACACGGUCCAAACUCCUGCGGGAGGCAGCAGUGAGGAAUAUUGGUCAAUGGACGAAGGUCUGAACCAGCCAAGUAGCGUGAAGGAUGACUGCCCUAUGGGUUGUAAACUUCUUUUAUAUGGGAAUAAAGUUCUCCACGUGUGGAGUUUUGUAUGUACCAUUAUGAAUAAGCAUCGGCUAACUCCGUGCCAGCAGCCGCGGUAAUACGGAGGAUGCGAGCGUUAUCCGGAUUUAUUGGGUUUAAAGGGAGCGUAGGUGGACUGGUAAGUCAGUUGUGAAAGUUUGCGGCUCAACCGUAAAAUUGCAGUUGAUACUGUCAGUCUUGAGUACAGUAGAGGUGGGCGGAAUUCGUGGUGUAGCGGUGAAAUGCUUAGAUAUCACGAAGAACUCCGAUUG